GUUUCUGUAGUGUAGUGGUUAUCACGUUCGCCUCACACGCGAAAAGUUCCCGGGUUCGAAACCGGGGUAGAAAACA
rnacentral:tRNA from 1 species